rnacentral:sRNA from 1 species
ACGGCUUGUACCGCUGGCACUCUAUACAC